rnacentral:misc_RNA from 1 species
GAUCAUUACUGAGUUACAAACUCCAAACCUUUGUGAACAUACCACAGUUGUUUCGGCGGCCUCGCCCCGGGCGCGGCGGGACCCCCCCUCGCGGGGGGGGGGGAACGCGGCGACCCGGACCCAGGCGACCGCCGGGGGACCCAAACUCUUGUCUUUUUAGUGUAUUAUCUGAGUGGCAUAAGCAAAAUAAAUUAAAACUUUCAGCAACGGAUCUCUUGGUUCUGGCAUCGAUGAAGAACGCAGCGAAAUGCGAUAAGUAAUGUGAAUUGCAGAAUUCAGUGAAUCAUCGAAUCUUUGAACGCACAUUGCGCCCGCCAGUACUCUGGCGGGCAUGCCUGUCCGAGCGUCAUUUCAACCCUCAGCACCCCCGUCCGCGGCGGGAGCUGGCGUUGGGGAUCGGCCGUCCUCUGCGGCGGCCGGCCCCGAAACGAAGUGGCGGUCACGUCGCGACCUCCUCUGCGUAGUAGCAAUAUCUCGCAGCCUGGAUAGCGGCGCGGCCACGCCGUAAAACCCCAACUCUUUCAAAGGUUGACCUCG